CGAGCAGGCGGUUUUAUAAGUCGGAUGUGAAAUCCUACGGCUCAACCGUAGAACUGCAUUCGAUACUGUGGAACUUGAGUACUGGAGAGGAAAGCGGAACUCAUGGUGUAGCGGUAAAAUGCGUAGAUAUCAUGAGGAACACCAAUGGCGAAGGCAGCUUACUGGACAAUAACUGACGCUGAGGCACGAAGCGUGGGUAGCGAAAG
rnacentral:rRNA from 1 species